ensembl:misc_RNA Metazoa_SRP Metazoan signal recognition particle RNA
GCCGGGCGCGGUGGCGCGUGCCUGUAGUCCCAGGCUGAGGUGGGAGGAUCGCUUGACCCCAGGAGUUCUGGGUUGUAGUGAGCUAUGCUGAUCGGGUGUCCGCACUAAGUUCAGCAUCAAUGGGGUGGCCUCCCAGGAGCGGGGACUACCAGGUUGCCUAAGGAGGGGUGAACUGGCCCAGGUUGGAAAUGGAGCAGGUCAAAACUCCCGUGCUGAUCUGUAGUGAGAUGGCAUCUGUGAAUAGCCACUGCCCUCCAGCCUGGGCAACAUAGGAAGACCCCAUCUCUC